ACUCCUACGGGAGGCAGCAGUGGGGAAUAUUGCACAAUGGGGGAAACCCUGAUGCAGCCAUGCCGCGUGUGUGAAGAAGGCCUCGGUUGUAAAGCACUUCAGUAGGGAGGAAGGUAGUGUAGUUAACACCUGCAUAUUUGACGUUACCUACAGAAGAAGCACCGGCUAACUCCGUGCCAGCAGCCGCGGUAAUACGGAGGGGUGCGAGCGUUAAUCGGAAUUACUGGGCGUAAAGCGCAUGCAGGCGGCCUGUUAAGUCAGAUGUGAAAGCCCGGGGGCUUAACCUCGGAAAUUGCAUUUGAAACUGGCAGGCUAGAGUCUUGUAGAGGGGGGUAGAAUUUCAGGUGUAGCGGUGAAAUGCGUAGAGAUCUGAAGGAAUACCAGUGGCGAAGGCGGCCCCCUGGACAAAGACUGACGCUCAGAUGCGAAAGCGUGGGGAGCAAACAGGAUUAGAUACCCGUGGUAGGAUAGCG
rnacentral:rRNA from 1 species